rnacentral:rRNA from 1 species
AUUGAACGCUGGCGGCAUGCCUUACACAUGCAAGUCGAACGGUAACAGGUCUUCGGAUGCUGACGAGUGGCGAACGGGUGAGUAAUACAUCGGAACGUGCCUAGGAGUGGGGGAUAACUACUCGAAAGAGUGGCUAAUACCGAAUGAGAACUACUGAUGAAAGCAGGGGAUCGCAAGAACUCGUGCUACUAGAGCGGCCGAUGGCCGAUUAGGUAGUUGGUGGGAUAAAAGCUUACCAAGCCGACGAUCUGUAGCUGGUCUGAGAGGACGAUCAGCCACACUGGGACUGAGACACGGCCCAGACUCCUACGGGAGGCAGCAGUGGGGAAUUUUGGACAAUGGGCGAAAGCCUGAUCCAGCAAUGCCGCGUGCAGGAUGAAGGCCUUCGGGUUGUAAACUGCUUUUGUACGGAACGAAAAGCCCCGGGUUAAUACCCUGGGGUCAUGACGGUACCGUAAGAAUAAGCACCGUCUAACUACGUGCCAGCAGCCGCCGUAA